GUGAGGAAUAUUGGUCAAUGGGCGAGAGCCUGAACCAGCCAAGUCGCGUGAAGGAUGAAGGUUCUAUGGAUUGUAAACUUCUUUUGUCCGAGGGUAAAAAAGGCUACGUGUAGCUUCUUGCAAGUAUCGGACGAAUAAGCAUCGGCUAACUCCGUGCCAGCAGCCGCGGUAAUACGGAGGAUGCGAGCGUUAUCCGGAUUUAUUGGGUUUAAAGGGUGCGUAGGUGGUUUGUUAAGUUUGUGGUGAAAGCGUGCGGCUCAACCGUACCAAGCCAUGAAAACUGGCGAACUUGAGUGCAAACGAGGUAGGCGGAAUGUGAUGUGUAGCGGUGAAAUGCUUAGAUAUGUCACAGAACCCCGAUUGCGAAGGCAGCUUACCAGCAUGCAACUGACACUGAGGCACGAAAGCGUGGGUAUCAAACAGGAUUAGAAACCCUAGUAGUCC
rnacentral:rRNA from 1 species